rnacentral:rRNA from 1 species
UACGUAGGGCGCAAGCGUUGUCCGGAAUUAUUGGGCGUAAAGAGCUCGUAGGCGGCUUGUCACGUCGUCCGUGAAAACUCACAGCUCAACUGUGAGCUUGCGGUCGAUACGGGCAGGCUAGAGUUCGGUAGGGGAGACUGGAAUUCCUGGUGUAGCGGUGAAAUGCGCAGAUAUCAGGAGGAACACCGGUGGCGAAGGCGGGUCUCUGGGCCGAUACUGACGCUGAGGAGCGAAAGCGUGGGGAGCAAACAGG